rnacentral:rRNA from 1 species
UUUAUGGAGAGUUUGAUCCUGGCUCAGGAUGAACGCUGGCGGCGUGCCUAAUACAUGCAAGUCGAGCGAACAGACGAGGAGCUUGCUCCUCUGACGUUAGCGGCGGACGGGUGAGUAACACGUGGAUAACCUACCUAUAAGACUGGGAUAACUUCGGGAAACCGGAGCUAAUACCGGAUAACAUGUUGAACCGCAUGGUUCAACAGUGAAAGACGGUCUUGCUGUCACUUAUAGAUGGAUCCGCGCCGCAUUAGCUAGUUGGUAAGGUAACGGCUUACCAAGGCAACGAUGCGUAGCCGACCUGAGAGG